rnacentral:rRNA from 1 species
ACCAACUAACGCCGCGUGAGGGAUCAAGGCCUUCGGGUUGUAAACCUCUUUUCCUGGGGAAGAAUUCUGACGGUACCCAGGGAAUAAGCCUCGGCCAACUACGUGCCAGCAGCCGCGGUAAUACGUAGGAGGCGAACGUUAUUCGGAUUUACUGGGCGUAAAGGGAGCGUAGGCGGCUCCUCAAGUCGGAUGUGAAAUCUUCGGACUCAAUCCGGAGGGGGGGUUUGAUACUGGUGGACUUGAGAGCAGCAGAGGGC